rnacentral:rRNA from 1 species
ACGAACGCUGGCGGCGUGCCUAAUACAUGCAAGUCGAACGCUUCUUUUUCCACCGGAGCUUGCUCCACCGGAAAAAGAGGAGUGGCGAACGGGUGAGUAACACGUGGGUAACCUGCCCAUCAGAAGGGGAUAACACUUGGAAACAGGUGCUAAUACCGUAUAACAAUCGAAACCGCAUGGUUUUGAUUUGAAAGGCGCUUUCGGGUGUCGCUGAUGGAUGGACCCGCGGUGCAUUAGCUAGUUGGUGAGGUAACGGCUCACCAAGGCGACGAUGCAUAGCCGACCUGAGAGGGUGAUCGGCCACAUUGGGACUGAGACACGGCCCAAACUCCUACGGGAGGCAGCAGUAGGGAAUCUUCGGCAAUGGACGAAAGUCUGACCGAGCAACGCCGCGUGAGUGAAGAAGGUUUUCGGAUCGUAAAACUCUGUUGUUAGAGAAGAACAAGGAUGAGAGUAACUGUUCAUCCCUUGACGGUAUCUAACCAGAAAGCCACGGCUAACUACGUGCCAGCAGCCGCGGUAAUACGUAGGUGGCAAGCGUUGUCCGGAUUUAUUGGGCGUAAAGCGAGCGCAGGCGGUUUCUUAAGUCUGAUGUGAAAGCCCCCGGCUCAACCGGGGAGGGUCAUUGGAAACUGGGAGACUUGAGUGCAGAAGAGGAGAGUGGAAUUCCAUGUGUAGCGGUGAAAUGCGUAGAUAUAUGGAGGAACACCAGUGGCGAAGGCGGCUCUCUGGUCUGUAACUGACGCUGAGGCUCGAAAGCGUGGGGAGCAAACAGGAUUAGAUACCCUGGUAGUCCACGCCGUAAACGAUGAGUGCUAAGUGUUGGAGGGUUUCCGCCCUUCAGUGCUGCAGCUAACGCAUUAAGCACUCCGCCUGGGGAGUACGACCGCAAGGUUGAAACUCAAAGGAAUUGACGGGGGCCCGCACAAGCGGUGGAGCAUGUGGUUUAAUUCGAAGCAACGCGAAGAACCUUACCAGGUCUUGACAUCCUUUGACCACUCUAGAGAUAGAGCUUCCCCUUCGGGGGCAAAGAGACAGGUGGUGCAUGGUUGUCGUCAGCUCGUGUCGUGAGAUGUUGGGUUAAGUCCCGCAACGAGCGCAACCCUUAUUGUUAGUUGCCAUCAUUUAGUUGGGCACUCUAGCAAGACUGCCGGUGACAAACCGGAGGAAGGUGGGGAUGACGUCAAAUCAUCAUGCCCCUUAUGACCUGGGCUACACACGUGCUACAAUGGGAAGUACAACGAGUCGCAAAGUCGCGAGGCUAAGCUAAUCUCUUAAAGCUUCUCUCAGUUCGGAUUGUAGGCUGCAACUCGCCUACAUGAAGCCGGAAUCGCUAGUAAUCGCGGAUCAGCACGCCGCGGUGAAUACGUUCCCGGGCCUUGUACACACCGCCCGUCACACCACGAGAGUUUGUAACACCCGAAGUCGGUGAGGUAACCUUUUGGAGCCAGCCGCCUAAGGUGGGAUAGAUGAUUGGGGUG